AUGCUCCCAUCUCCACCCAGCGCCUCCAGCAAACCCGCCGGGGCAGCUGCCCGCCUGUCCCAGGGAUGCCGGGUGUGUGCAUCUGUACACGUGUGCCAAGACUGAGCUGCGCACAGACGCACACCUGGCACUAGCCACUCACACAGGAGCCAAAUAGUUAGGUGGAGCCAAAUUUUCAAAGCCAGGCAGGCGCAACUGCGCACAGGUGCAUGCACCUGGUGAAGUCGUACAUGCUGAUCCCUAGUCAUAGAAUCGUAGCGCUGGAAGAGACCUCAGGAGGUCAUCAAGUCCAGCCCCCUGCCAAGGCAGGACCAAUCCAACUGGGUGAGGAUUGAUCUCUUGGUACAUAACUGGCCAGGGCAGUAUUUCUCCCCCCAGGCAUGUGCCAGGCCUUGAUGUGUGGACACACACCUUGGGAAUCUGUGCCUGCAAUUCCCCGAUGGGCACACCUGGGCCUCGGGCAGCCUUCCGUGCAGGGGCUAACUGCACUUGGGGCAUCAGCAGGGCUCGGGCAAACCAGCAUGCGCAGUUGCAUCCGCCCACUGUUGAAAAUCUGGCCCCUGAGGUGCAAGAUAAAUGAUCGUAAAAGGAAACUGCAUCCGUUCUGCUCAGCUCUCCCCAGCCAGGAGCACCCGCUGCCAUUUCUGCAAGCUGGGCAUUGCGGGUGAAGAAUUGAAUGUGGCAUGGAGGCGUACAGGGCAGCGCUGGGUCUAAUCACACCUGCAAGAUGCUGUCAGAGGGCCCGAUCCUCAUAAACCUAGUCUCAACCCUCAGUUUCUCAAGCCCCGUGUGGGAUCAGGCUCCCAGAGAACUGCUGGCAUCUGCUGCCGGAUUGGCUUCAUGUUAGAUGUUUAAACAAGAAACAAUUUGUUUGAAUGUCAAGCUAGAAAACUCUCCUUCUAACUGCAGAGCGCCGCCUGAUCUCCCUGCCUCCGGACACCGCUUGGAGUUUCACUGCGGCCAAGGUUUUGAAAAGUGGCUACUGAUUUUGGACAUCCAGUUGGAGACACCACAGAGGGGCCUGGCUUUCAGAGAAGAGAGUACUCCUUCACACAACGCACCGUGAACCUGUGGAACUCCUCGCCAGAGGACUUUGUGAAGUUCACAGGGUUAAAAAAAUAGCUAGAUAAAUUCAUGGA